CAAAAGGCUGAUCUCAAAAGUCAAAAGAUGUGAAAAAGUUCAGGAUUUCCUUUCUAAAAUAAUGAGGAAAACAUUGGUAUGAAUUCAAGAGACAAAAGGUAAAAAAGUCCAGACAAAGAGCGUUUUUUCUACUGGAUCGUAUAUCACAAAUCUGGGAGAAUGGAGAGUCAUAAGUCACCCAGGAUUAUUGGUUGACUUUUCUUUCAGCAAGUAACCUGCAUUUCGAAUCUCGGCCUUUAGCCAAUAUCGGUCUAUCCAAACGAAAACAGACAGGUCCGUGUGAAAGUUUCUGUUGAAUUUGGACGCAUGCUAACAGCUUACGCAACCUGACGAAACUAAAAUGCUGAAAGUGGGGUCCUUAUGCGGCUUGUCACGCUUGAGUGAUCCCCGCAUCUCUAGGUCCCGCAUAUUCCCUCACCACGAAACUGCCAAUGAUAUUUAUUCUCGGAAUAACGUAAACCGAGGGUACUUAUAUCGAAACUGAAUUUCGACGAGGCAGGUUUUUUCUUAUAAAAAUAGAAACAUCUUAGGAUAGAAAAAAUUUGAUGGUUCAUUUUGUGGGAAUCUAAAGCAUUAACAAAACAACAUUUGAACGUAUGUAGUAAGAAAUAAAAGAUUUUUUGAAUGAAAAUUAGUGCUACGUGCGGACCAGUGCGGACUGGUGCGGACUGGUGCGGACUAUACGAACCGAAUAAAUAAGAAUAUCUACUUGACUGGCCGUUGAAAAUAAACUUGAAUCUGCACACGUUUUGCAUUUACGACUGUAUCGUUC